CACAAACUGCUCGUUGAGCACAGUCAGCCACCAGCUUUCUCUAGGGUGCUGCUUUCACUAAAUGAACUGCUACAUUCCGCAUCAGUGAAGGAACUCAGUUUGGGUGGAGAUGGAUAAAACCCAUCUAGGACACAGUUAAAGGCUAAGGUGACCCUCGAGAGGAAAAGGCUGAUGUCUAUGACUUUCCCUUCCCUUCAAGAAAUGUUGAAAAAGUAAUUAAACGAAAGAAGAAGAAGACCCAAGUCUGGCUUAAAGUCUGGAAAGUAAUUUCAAAAAUGCUUGAAGAAAAUGAAAAGUUCAGACAUCGACUGUUGACUUGCAGUCAGUUCAAUGGAGAAAGCAAUGAUGCGAUCCAAGUACACAGAAGGAGGCACUCCCGCUGGACAGGGUCCCAUCCCGGAUGAGUGAUGAUUGGUUGAUUUCUGGUAUCAGUACAAUCGUAAGUUAUUGAUUAAAUUGGUACAAUGUAAUAAUCCUUAUUAGUGAGUGGGUUUGAGUGCCUCUUCAGACCCAAAGAGCAUAAUUCAUAGCGAAUUAUGAUUGGAUCCAUAGACUGACUGUUGGACUAGAUGACCUUUUCCAACCUUACUGAUUCUAUGACUGCAUGACAGACCCUACGAUCCCACGUUUUCCUGUCUCUUUGGGAUACACUCUGCCACCUUUGUAUGUAGGUAUCUUUUCCUGGCCGGUCUGCAGGAGGUGUAAUCUCAGUGAAAAUCUUGUUGGGUCUCGAGCUCAACCUACGGGACCUGAAGGGCACCCCGCAGCCCCCGGGUUCCGCUGGUGCCUGCAGGGGGCGCCGGGGCGCGCGGCCGUGCGCGGCG
ensembl:lncRNA